UGGAGCAUGUAAAGGGGUCACCAUGGAGAGACGGACUCUGUGUGACCUUGGGGACACGCUCUUCCUUAGAUAGAAGGUUUGGAGAACAAUGCAGUGAUCUUCCCUUCUCUCUGAGGUGUACGUUCCAGGACUCCCACAGAUGCCAGAAACCGAGGGAAGUACUGG
rnacentral:lncRNA from 1 species